GAUGAAGAACGCAGCGAAAUGCGAUAAGUAAUGUGAAUUGCAGAAUUCAGUGAAUCAUCGAAUCUUUGAACGCACAUUGCGCCCGCUAGUAUUCUGGCGGGCAUGCCUGUCCGAGCGUCAUUUCAACCCUCAAGCCCCCGGGCUUGGUGUUGGGGACCGGCGAGCCUCCGCGCCCGCCGUCCCCUAAAUCUAGUGGCGGUCUCGCUGUAGCUUCCUCUGCGUAGUAGCACACCUCGCACUGGGAAACAGCGCGGCCACGCCGUUAAACCCCCAACUUCUGAACGUUUGACCUCGGAUCAGGUAGGAAUACCCGCUGAACUUAAGCAUAUCAAUAAGCGGAGGA
rnacentral:misc_RNA from 1 species